rnacentral:rRNA from 1 species
GCAAGUCGAACGAGAAAGUUCUUCGGAACGAGUAAAGUGGCGCACGGGUGAGUAACGCGUAGAUAAUCUACCCUUCAGUCUGGGAUAACUCUUCGAAAGGGGUGCUAAUACUGGAUAAUACAACGAAACUAAUGUUUUGUUGUUAAAAGAAUUUCGCUGAGGGAUGAGUCUGCGUAACAUUAGCUAGUUGGUGAGGUAAGAGCUCACCAAGGCGACGAUCUCUAGCUGGUCUGAGAGGAUGAUC